rnacentral:rRNA from 1 species
CUGGGAACUGCAUUUGAGACUGCACGGCUAGAGGAUGGCAGAGGGGGGUAGAAUUCCACGUGUAGCAGUGAAAUGCGUAGAGAUGUGGAGGAAUACCGAUGGCGAAGGCAGCCCCCUGGGCUAUUUCUGACACUCAUGCACGAAAGCGUGGGGAGCAAAACAGGAUUAGAUACCCUGGUAGUCCACGCCCUAAACGAUGUCAACUAGAUGUUGGAAGGGUUAAACCUUUUAGUGUCGUAGCUAACGCGUGAAGUUGACCGCCUGGGGAGUACGGCCGCAAGGCUAAAACUCAAAGGAAUUGACGGGGACCCGCACAAGCGGUGGAUGAUGUGGAUUAAUUCGAUGCAACGCGAAAAACCUUACCUACCCUUGACAUGUCAGGAAUCCCGGAGAGAUUUGGGAGUGCUCGAAAGAGAACCUGAACACAGGUGCUGCAUGGCUGUCGUCAGCUCGUGUCGUGAGAUGUU